rnacentral:rRNA from 1 species
GUGAGGAAUAUUGGUCAAUGGGCGGGAGCCUGAACCAGCCAAGUCGCGUGAAGGAAGAAGGAUCUAUGGUUCGUAAACUUCUUUUGCAGGGGAAUAAAGUGCAGGACGUGUCCUGUUUUGUAUGUACUGUACGAAUAAGGAUCGGCUAACUCCGUGCCAGCAGCCGCGGUAAUACGGAGGAUCCGAGCGUUAUCCGGAUUUAUUGGGUUUAAAGGGUGCGUAGGUGGAUUGAUAAGUCAGCGGUGAAAGUUUGCAGCUUAACUGUAAAAUUGCCGUUGAAACUGUCGGUCUUGAGUGCAAAUGAGGUAGGCGGAAUGUGUUGUGUAGCGGUGAAAUGCUUAGAUAUAACACAGAACUCCGAUUGCGAAGGCAGCUUACUGGGAUGCAACUGACACUGAUGCACGAAAGCGUGGGUAUCAAACAGGAUUAGAUACCCGGGUAGUCC